rnacentral:rRNA from 1 species
UACGUAGGGUGCGAGCGUUGCCCGGAUUUAUUGGGCGUAAAGGGCGCGUAGGCGGCCACGCACGUCCGUUGUGAAAUCGCCCGGCUCAACUGGGCGGGGUCGGCGGAUACGGCGUGGCUGGAGCAAGCUAGGGGGCAAUGGAAUUCCCGGUGUAGUGGUGGAAUGCGUAGAUAUCGGGAGGAACACCAGUGGCGAAGGCGGUUGCCUGGCCUGUUCUUGACGCUGAGGCGCGAAAGCUAGGGGAGCGAUCCGG